rnacentral:lncRNA from 1 species
UUUAACGCAGCUUCCCAUAUUUACAGGAAGAUUAUGUCUUCUUUUUCCAAAGAGCUGAGACAGAAAUAUAAUGUUCGGUCCAUGCCCAUCUGAAAGGAUGAAGAAGCUCAGUUUGCACAAGGACACUAUAGAGGUCAGCAAAUUAGCAAAGUAGUCCAAGUUUAUGGGAAGAAAUACGUUGUCUGCACUGGACAUAUGCAGCGGGAGAAGGCUGGCCAUUUGCCCCAGCAGGGCUCUUAACCCUGAACAAAGACUGAGAUCCUUGAGCCAAAAGCUAAAUCUCACCAAGUAGGAACAGAAAAGGCCAAAUACAAGGAAAAUGCAAUUGGGAAGAUGUAGGAAUAAAGU